AUUGAACGCUGGCGGCAGGCCUAACACAUGCAAGUCGAGCGGAUGAAGGGAGCUUGCUCCUGGAUUCAGCGGCGGACGGGUGAGUAAUGCCUAGGAAUCUACCUGGUAGUGGGGGAUAACGUCCGGAAACGGGCGCUAAUACCGCAUACGUCCUGAGGGAGAAAGUGGGGGAUCUUCGGACCUCACGCUAUCAGAUGAGCCUAGGUCGGAUUAGCUAGUUGGUGGGGUAAAGGCCUACCAAGGCGACGAUCCGUAACUGGUCUGAGAGGAUGAUCAGUCACACUGGAACUGAGACACGGUCCAGACUCCUACGGGAGGCGGCAGUGGGGAAUAUUGGACAAUGGGCGAAAGCCUGAUCCAGCCAUGCCGCGUGUGUGAAGAAGGUCUUCGGAUUGUAAAGCACUUUAAGUUGGGAGGAAGGGCAGUAAGUUAAUACCUUGCUGUUUUGACGUUACCAACAGAAUAAGCACCGGCUAACUUCGUG
rnacentral:rRNA from 1 species